AAGGCCGGCGGAGACCGCGAGCUGUGCGCACGCGUCAGUCUCGGAGUGCCCUACGCCGCUUUCACCCGGCCACGAUUUGGCGCCUUGUUCCAGCACCGGGAAGGUGCUGGAGUCGGAGCUGUGUGCGUAAAGUCACCUGUGUGGGCUGCUGCUGCAGGACCCCCAGCUGGGUCCUUGUGGAGUGUGCUGGAUGAGGACCAGGGGAGCAGGAAGGUGUGUCAAGCUCAGUUUGAUCUGGCUUACUGUGUUGGCAGAGAAACCCAUUAUCGGGGCACAGAAAACCUAUUACCCUGAAAGAGCAGUAAGGCUCUUAACUGCUGAGCCAUUUCUCCAGCCUCCGUGAUGGUUCAUCUUGUCAAAAUCAUCGUGGAAGCAAAUCUCUAGGUCGGGCCAGCAAGACAGCCCAGUUGAGUAAAGGUAGUGUCACCAAGCCUGACUGCCUGGGUUCAGUCCCCAGGACCAUGUCAUGUGGUGGAAGUUGGGAACCAACCGCUCUGACGUCCCUGUGUGGUGGAUCUGGACAUCUGGACGCACACAAUGUAUAAUUAAAAAAAAUACCACUGGGUGUGUCUGUGAGGUUCUAGACAGGUUUAACCGAAGAAGAAAGACUUACUAUUAAUGUGUGUGGCUCCAUCCUAGAGGCUAGGGUCUCAGACUGAAUAAAAGAAGUAAACCAUCUCAUUCUGUUUCCUGGCUGCAGAUGGCAAUGUGACCAGCUGCCCGGCUGAUCCCCACCAUGAUGAACUAUACCCUUCCCUAAGAUGCUUCUGUGAUGUUUGUAGACCCAGCAAUAAGAACAGUAACUGAUACAGUCUCCCAGUCGUUGGGAUCACAGGCAGGAGUCAGCCUAUCCACUGGUAUGCGAACACUAAAGAAUCACUGUAUCGCAUGGAUGCCUCCGGAAACACGUGAAGACGAUGUCAGGUGCCAGAGGGCUUUGGAGCCCUUCACACACUGCGCCACGCUCUCCCUUGCCUCUGCACAUCGGCAUGUUAUUUCCAGAGUAUCUAAGAACCGGUGAUCCCUAGCCCAGCUCAUCCACCUUCAAGGCUGAAGGUCCGAAGAUAAUGCAGGCGUCUUGCUCGGCUUGUAUGUCUCCUUUCAAACUCAGAAGAGGAGGAGGAGGAGGUAGAAAGAGGAGGAGGCCAUCCAAGGUUCUCCAGUCACAGCCCAAAGCUUGUAGUCACCUUCCAUUCUAGGAACAGCAGAGCCUUGAAGACAGAUCACCCCAUGAGUAAGAGGAGUCAUCUCAUGGGAAGGAGCUUGACCUUUCAAGCAAUAAGGAUUUCUUCAGACCGUCCCACAAAACGGCUGAGAAAAUGAGAAACCAGACCACGCCGUGACCAGUACCGCUUGAUUAUUGUUUGUGUUGGCUGAACUGUUUAUGACCCUGGGGAUGGAACCCGGGGCCUUAUGUAUGCCAGGCAAGUGUCCCACCACGGAACUUCACCGCCAGCCCGAGUGCGAUUUUGAGCAUACCCUUUGAAUUCAGGCAUGGUGGCUUUGGGGAUGGCGUCAAGAGGAUCAGGAGUUCAUCCUCAGCUGGGCAGUUGAGUUUGAGGCCAGCCUGGAUGACAUGAGACAUUGCCUCAAAAUAAAGGGGCCAGAGAUGUGGAUCCGUUGGUAGCUUGCUUGCUGAGCACACAGGGAGGGAGCACUAGGUUUAAUGCCCAGCUCUGCAUGGCUCACACCUGUAAUCCCAGCACUUGGCGGGGUGGAGGCUGGAAGAUCAGGAGUUCAAAGUUAUCCUUGGCUAUAUAACAAGUUUGAGGCUCUCCUGGCUAUAUGAAAAACCCUGUCUUAACUCUUCCAGAAAAAAAAAAGAUUUUAUAUAUAUAUAUAUAUAUAAAUAAUACACACACACACACACACACACACACACACACACACACACACACACGAGCGAUACACCACUUGGGAGCUGAAUGCCAUCUAUUCUUCCCUCUGUGGUAGGAGCGGAACUGCAGCCAGGGGGCGCUGCUGUGGAGACGCUUUUCAGUUAGGGACAUCUCGGAGGGAAGAUGUUGGCUGAGUGUGGCUAGAACAGUGGUUCUCAACCGCCUUCCAGAUGCUGCAACCCUUUAACACAGUUCCUUGUGUCAUGGGGAUCCCCAACAAUAGAAUUAUUUCCAUUGCUAAAUUCCAUUGUAAUUUUGCUACAAUAAUUACAUGAAUUGUAACGUAAAUAUCGGAUAUUUCCGAUGGUCUUAGGCGGCCCCUGUGAAAGCCAUUUAACCCCUGAAGGCUUGUGACCCAUAGGUUGAGAACGGCUAGUUUAGAUGACCACCUCCUGGGCUUCUCGUUCUUCAAUGGCAUGAAGGCCCUGCCCACCUGAGAGCUCCAGCCACAGAAACUCAACACGUGGCCUGGGUCUCAUGAGGAAAGAAAGUGACAUCAGUGAUACCCACUUACAUCCUAAUCACCCCAUUCCCAAUCCCAAGCGUCCAUCACCACAGCAGAUAGAAAGGGACGUGGUAGCCCAGCUCUGCUGUAUAGUCUGGGAGGACACCCCAAACAAAGGGGCUUUGUGUGGGGGCUGGAAAGAGCUAUCAGGCUCCAAGCUCCCAGAAUGGAGGGGUGUGGAGAGGAGUGUUGGGACAGCAGUUGGUGUAGAGAGCCGUGCACGGCCGCGCCUCAAAGAUGGCUUCUGCCUUCCCGAUGGCAGGCGUUCUCUGGGAUAAACAACUCCUUAUAUGGCUUGGGCGUGGAAUCUGGCUUGCUUGCGUAUGUCUGACCCUAUCGGCAUUGUCCACGUGGCACUACGGGGUUGGUUGCCCAGUGGCUAUAAAGGGCGUGGGCUGGCUUUCCCGGGAGUCAGAAGAUGGCUUUCCCCGGGGUCAGAAGAUUGUUCAAGGUUCCUAAAUAAACUGCUUGGAGAAGAGCCCGGUGUUGCGUCUUCCUUGCUGGUCGAGGCGGACGCGACAAGUGGUGGCCCGUACGGGGAACCUUUAAGGCUCAGAACUCUUCGCAGUCAGGGCAGUGCACUGGUAAGUCCCCAGGUAAGGUGGGGGUCCGCGACAAAAGUGGGAAAAUUAAGUAGAGCCGCGACAAAAGCAGAUGGGAAAAUUAAAACGUAGAGCCGCGACAAAAGCGGACGGGAAAAUUAAAGAGUAGAGCCACGACAAAAGCGGAUGGGAAAAUUAAAAAGUAGAGCCGUGACAAAAGCGGACGGGGAAAUUAAAGAAAGUGAAAGCAGGUGAAGGCAAAAGUGCUGCUAGUAUCAUGGGCGCAACUUCUUCGCACCCAAUUUUUCUGGCUCUUAACGAGCUGCUCCUUUCAAAGAAAUUAGAGAUUAAGAAGAGUACUUUAGAAAGAUUUCUAGAGGAAUGUGAUGUUGUGGCACCCUGGUUUGCAGUUUCCGGAAGCCUCACGGUAGUUUCCUGGGAAAAGUUGGGCCGUGAUCUAGACUUCGCUGCAGAACAAGGGACGCUUAAACAUGGGGUUAGACCAGUUUGGAAAUUAGUGAGAGGGUGUCUCGAAGACCAGCGCUGCAGCCAUGCGGUAGAGAAUGGGCAGGCAGCCUUAGUAAUGUUGCAGGAGGAAAGAUCAGAAAAGGCCAUGUCUGCUAAAGCAGCGUCUACCAGAAGUAAAACAAAAAAGGAGGAAGAAAAAACAAGGUUAUAUCCUGACCUUUCGGACCUAGAGUGUUCCGAGUCCCCUAUCUCUUCCCCUGAUUCUGAUGAUGCAGAGUCAUUAUGUGAAACCUUGCAGAGCAUGAGAAUAAGAAAGAAAAGGGGUAGAAAUAAAGGAGAAAGAGAAAGAAUUAAAGGAUGUGAGUCUGAGUGUGGAGCCACUCCCUCAGCUCCUCCACCAUAUCUGGAAUCUGCCUCCAUGUCUAGAGUUGUCUCUAUGGGGAAUUCUUUUAACCGGAGGUUUGGAGACAGGUUAGAACUGAAAUGCAGCUAGCUUGCCCAAUGUUUCUCAAUGCCCAGACUCAACAGAGAUACCAUGAACCUUUGGAUUUUAAGGUCAUCAAGUCUCUAGCGGAAUCUGUCCGGACUUAUGGCAUCACAGCCUCAUAUACUGUUGCUCAAGUGGAGGCUCUGCACAGAUUUUGCAUGACUCCAUCCGAUUGGAUGAAUCUUGCUCGAGCAUGUCUCAGCGCAGGGCAGUAUUUAGACUGGAAGGCAUUUUUGAUAGAAUUUGCCAGUGAACAAGCUGCGAUUAACAGGGCUGCAGGUGGAGGUCAAGCAGCUUGGGAUGUAGACAUGCUGCUGGGACAAGGCCAGUUUGCCAAUCAACAAAAUGGAUAUCCACAGCAGGUUUAUGACCAGAUAAAUCAACUAGCAACAAGGGCAUGGAAGUCCCUACCUAAUAAAGGGGAAGUGAGCGGCAACCUUACGAAGAUCCUUCAGGGACCUAUGGAACCUUUUUCAGAUUUUGUGGCCCGCAUGGUCGAGGCUGCAGGCAGAAUCUUUGGGGACCCAGAUGCCGCGAUGCCGCUUAUAAAGCAGCUAGUUUAUGAACAAUGUACCAAAGAAUGCAAGGCUGCGAUCACCCCUUAUAAGAACAAAGGUCUAGAAGUAUGGAUGAAAGUGUUGCAGAGAAUUAGGGGGACCUCUAACUAACGCAGGCCUUGCGGCUGCAGUUAUGCAACUUAGUAACAAGAAAGGAGGGAACACUGGGGCAUGUUUUCGGUGUGGAAAAAUGGGCCAUCUCAAACGUAGCUGCCCUCAAGGAAAAGGUAACUUCUAUAGUUUCAUUAAACAGUAUAAAUAAGUAGAUGUUAAAAUGUUAUAUGUGAGUUUGUAAAAAUGUGUAAAUGUUGAGUGUGAGUUUAGGCUUAAGCACAUGUUAUAUGUGAGUUUGUGAAAAGGUGUAAAUGUUGAUUGUGAAUCUAAGCUUAAUGUAUGUGGUGAAAGAACCUGAGACACAGAAGGUUAGUGUCCCAGUAGACUGCAAAGUAGGCAGUCUGAAUGGUUUCAAAAGUUUCAGAAGCCACUAAGAAGCUAAGAAUGAUGGAUGCCAGAGCCAGCACAACAAGGCAUUUGCAGCUGAGAUCUGUGGAAAAUCAACGCAACACAGAAAAACCUGAGCUAACAGCGAAAACGGUGCGGUUUAAAAUUACUGACUCCGCAGAUGGGAGUACAAUUAGUGGAGUCUGAUUUUAAAGGCCCUUUGAAGCCGGGCACGGUGGGUUUAUUGAUAGGAAGAUCCUCCACCACCAUAAGAGGUCUUAUUGGGAUCGUGAAUGGCUUAUUGGGAUCGUUGCAGGCUAAAUUUUCUCUUUCCCGUGUGGAUGCGCGCCAAGUAGUUAAGGCCAAGGCAUUGUGGAGCGUGCGCAUCGGUCCCUCAAAGAAAUUCUUCAAAAACAAAAAGGGGGAAUAGGCCGUGACCAAACCCCAAGAGAAAGACUCUCUCUGGCAUUAUUCACCUUAAAUUUUUUUAAUUUGGAUGCCUCGGGAAGUUCAUCAGCAGAUAGGCAUCAUAAUCCACACAGCCCUAUGAAGGCGGGUGGAGGGUGUAGCCGGCGUCCGGCUUCCGCCUUCCCGAUGGCAGGUGUUCUCUGGGAUAAACAACUCCUUAUUUGGCUUGGGCGUGGAAUCUGGCUUGCUUGCGUAUGUCUGACCCUAUCGGCAUUGUCCACGUGGCACUACGGGGUUGGUUGCCCAGUGGCUAUAAAGGGCGUGGGCUGGCUUUCCCGGGAGUCAGAAGAUGGCUUUCCCCGGGGUCAGAAGAUUGUUCAAGGUUCCUAAAUAAACUGUUUGGAGAAGA